rnacentral:lncRNA from 1 species
CUCAGCCAGGGAGCCGACCCUUCGGUCUCCCGGCCACCGACAUCAGUAAGCGGCGCGGGCUCGCCUGACGCCAUCACGUAGGCUCCGCGCCCAGGCCCCGCCUCCCACCCCCAGAGCCAAUCGAGGAGCCCAGAGAAGCCGUGGGGCGGGGCCAGCCGCUGGAAAGCCUGGAGGUGACGUUCCCCAGGAGCCGUUGCCUGUACCUGUCGCUCGGUUCCCAGGGCGCCAGCCUCGGGUGGAAGGCUGGGUCACCCGCGCCGGGCAAUACGCGUCCGUACAGCCUGUUUCCAGCAGUUCUGCGGCAGACCAGACUCCUGGCUUCUGAGUCCUUUACCUCGCUUGGCCUUGGCACCAACAGUGCGACUUUGCGGCUGUCACUUCGCCCCCGCCUCUGCCGAAGGUUGAACUUGAGCCCUUUUCUACUGGUCUUUUACUUUGCAGGCUCCUGGUCUUCUGAAAAAUAUGCAGUUCCAGAACUGUCUAUGAUGAUUUUGCUGGGAGAACAACAUUGCAAUCCUUUUCCUCUUGAAGUUCCAGAAAUCGCUAUGAUGACUUCCCUGAGCUCCCUUGGAGAAGAACAAUGAAGACUUUUACACUUUAAAAAUCUUAAAUCACCCCUCAGCCAUUUUCCCUGCAUCCUUAUUGGAAAUCUGAUCGUCAUCAGAAGAGUCUGUAUCAGGUAGCUUCUGGCCCAUACUUUUCUCGCGUGUGACACUGUACAUAUCCUUAAGCCAAAUUGGCCACCUUAACCAGAAAAAGCUCACCUAGGCAAGAGAAGGGGAGAUAUUAGUUCUGCUUUCCCCUCCGUUUUCCAGCCACAGCACCAAGUCCUCUUCCAACUUGCCUGACUCUCACUUUCCAUUGUGUUUCUAGUAACCUCAUUCAGCCCCAAAGCCAACCUCAUGGCUGGGCUCCUAAAGGAGGCAGACACCUGCCUGCAGAAUUGGAGGACGGUGCAGGCUGCCUGUACUGGUUACCAGGGAGAUUCAGGGAGUAUUUUCCUCCUCCACCCUGAGCUGUUGUCUGCUGGGGAGGAGCAGUAAUCUGAGAGGGGAGGAAGGGAGGCAUUGCAGAGCCCUGCCCUCAGUCUGGUGGGCCUGAGUUGCAGGAUGGUGUGCGACACCUGGGACUUCCAUCUCAGGUUUCUCCACGUCUUCCAUUCUGAGAUUGCCGAUCUGUCCUGGCUCCCCUCCUUUUCCCUUCUCCCUCCCUGGACUCAUGCAGAGCUCCAUACAUUGACUGUAUGACCUGGGGCAGGAAAGACCCUCCUUGCUUCUCAUUGUUCCCAGCAAGCCCUACAAGACUUCCCUGAUAGAGUAAUAAUGUUGGCAUUUUGUGAAUCAGCAGCCAUUUUGUCCUCAGGCCUCACUUCUUGAGAAAUGGAGCCUCCCCAGGCAGUUCCACCCCCAACAGCAGCCCCACCCUUAACAGAAAUUCCAGCACUCUAAGACAGCUCCACCCCUAACAGAGACUCCCCCAUAUGCGCUAACUUCCUCAAGCUCCCUCUUCUAUGAAAGCCACACCUAGCCCAGAGUCAGUGCUGUGCCAUCUUUUCCGGGUCAGCCUGACAGCUUGAGCCUGUCAUUAAACCUUGGUCUUAGACGUGAGAUUUUUCCUGUGAGCUUUCUUUGUGAGCGGCAUUUUUCCUAACAUUUCCCAAAGGGCUUUCAGAUAGAAUAGAACAUCUAUUUAUGUUUCCCAUAUCAAACAGGCUAAAUGAAGAACCAGACAAACAACCAGAUGGGAGUUUCCUCCCCUAGACCUAAGGCCAACAGACAAGACUCUCUCACAGAAGCCAGAAAGGGGACACAAGUUCCCCCCAAACCAGAUGGGGAUCUUUAACAAAAGAAAACACCACGUGGGGACAACAAUUCCCCCUCAAAACAGAUCCCCAGAUUCCCUGGUCUCUUUUAACCCGAGAUUUCUACCCUAAAAAUGGCACCAACAAAUUCCUCCCUUGGAGGGACCAGGUGAAGAUCCCAGUGGGACCUUCUCAGACAGGCAGAGUCAGGUUUUGGGGUGCACAGGCCUGGAGGCUACAGGUCCUGUUUGUGGUUCUUGGAGGAGACAAUGGGAGGUCCCUGGUGUUAAUCUUAGCCUGGCAGCUGCUGGGAUUUGUCCUCUAGUUGUCUGCCAGCCUCAUUUACCAGCACCUCUGCUGAGGUCCAGCCAGAGUGCAACCCAGGGGGCCUCUUAACACUCAAGGAGUGAGGACCCCCUGUGGAUCCCAUCUGGGUUGCCGGUUUUGUUACUGAAAAAACUGAUCCCUUGGCCUCAAUGCCAAUUCACAAUUUACAAAUAAGGAGAGCAAGGUUUUGAGAAGGAAGUAAGGUUUAUUAUUCAUCUGACAAAGAGGUGGACAGGGAGAGUCAACCUCUUGUUGGGUCUGGAUAUCUAAGGCAGAUCAGAAAGUAGCCCAUCCCCCAUGGAGAACCCCAUGAGCCCUGCACCCUGAGAAGGAGUUAUGAAUCUGCAUUUCUGUUCCCUGAGGAAGAGAUACAGGGCCUCACAAAUCUGCCAGGAAGAGAUACAGGGUCCCACAGAUCUGCCACAGGACUGAUAAACAAAAUUCUCUCAAUGUUGUUCCCUGCCCCCCAAUAAGGGGCAAAAAGACCAGCUCAUCUAAAGGGGCCCCAUGCAAAUACAUGGCCAAUAGAAAAGAAAACCUAACUGAUACCCUAACCCAGAGUUAAAGCAUCCUUAAAAAGCCCCAGCCUUCACCUGUGCAGCGAGUUACUGACUUCGGGCUCUGCUGCACUUCUCUAGCUGUAGCCUUUCCUUUCUCUCUAAUAAACCCUACUUCAUAUACUGGCUUUGGCUCA